rnacentral:rRNA from 1 species
AGUCAAUAGAUACCCCGGUAGUCCACGCCGUAAACGAUGAGUACUAGGUGUAGGAGGUAUCGACUCCUUCUGUGCCGCAGUUAAACACAAUAAGUACUCCGCCUGGGAAGUACGGUCGCAAGAUUAAAACUCAAAGGAAUUGACGGGGGCCCGCACAAGCAGCGGAGCAUGUGGUUUAAUUCGAAGCAACGCGAAGAACCUUACCUAGACUUGACAUCUCCUGAAUAGUGUAGAGAUACAUGAAGCCCUUCGGGGCAGGAAGACAGGUGGUGCAUGGUUGUCGUCAGCUCGUGUCGUGAGAUGUUGGGUUAAGUCCCGCAACGAGCGCAACCCUUAUUACUAGUUGCUACCAUUAAGUUGAGCACUCUAGUGAGACUGCCCGGGUUAACCGGGUACGGAAGGCGGGGAUGACGUCAAAUCAUCAUGCCCCUUACGU